CCUUAUUAUCCUGGAUAGGCAAAAUAGGCACAAAUAGUCACCUGAUGAUUGGUAUUUUUAUCAAAGUGAACUGGAUUUAUUGAGAUCAGGUUUGCAAAGAACCCUAGAAUAAAAGCUAAAGCACAGAGUAAAGUGUUUAAUACAGUUACAUGUCUUUUGUGUAAUAUCCUAACAUCAGGAGAUUUUCUGAUCUUCAAGAAGAAGUUCCAAGGUUCAUUUUAAGGAGUAUCUUGAUGACAUAUUGCCUGUCCUAUUUGUCUGUGUAGAUACGUUCUCUCUCUCGGGGAGAAGGAUCGCAGGGUCAUUUGAGCCGAACACUCUCAGCUCAGAAUAAUAAACUGGAGGAAGAGGGCCCUCAGGGUAGCCAAAAAAAAAAAAACAGCUCUGCGUUAUGGAUGAGUCGUGAAUGCAUGAAGAAGUGUGCAUGACGGAUGUUAGGUACAAGAGUGAAAGGGCGAGCAAAGUUCAGCAAGGUAAUGCACAAACUUUUUAUGUCUUCAUGUAUGUAAUAAUGGCUGAAGAUAUAAAGAAUCUGUGUGCAUUAGGGUUCAAGGGUGUCUUUUUCUCCAACAGGAAAUGUCUUGCUCUUAACAAAACCACAGUUUACACUGGACUAAGCACAAAUGAAAAAAGAAACGGCAGAGAAAGAGGGAGAGCGAAUGAGGGAUUAUGGCAAAAAUAUUUUGUCAAUAGCCGACAGGGCAUUCAAAUACCAACCUUGAAGUUUCCAAGAAGAAGAAAGUUAUUUUUAAAGUUUCUACGAUGCUGCUUGUCCAACCUGUCCAAAGGCUCAUAGCCUACAGAAAGGUGCAAAUUUACACACACACAUACACACACAAAAUUAACACAACACACAAACAAGCCGCAACACAAUGAAAUUGACACAACACAAUGAAAAUGAGCUGCAACACAACGAAAUUAACACAAAACAACGAAAACGAGCCGCAACACAACUAAAUUUACACAACAGAAACAAGCGGAACAACAACGGAAAUAAUCUAGGUAAAACUGCUUUUGAAUAUGCUGCACCGUCAGAUUGAAACUCUCUUCAGAUGAAACUGUGGUUAAAUCAGUUUGUGCCUUUUAGUAAUUUUAAAACACUUUUGCAUGCAGUGGAAAAUUAUUUAAUAAUUUGCAAAUGCUUCUAGUGCUGUAUUUUAUUGAUAUCUUACUGUUGUGACGUAUUGUUGUUUGUCAUAUGUGUAUUUAUAUAACUGGGCUGCCUAUCUUGGCCAGGACACUCCUGUAAAAGAGAUUUUUAAACUCAGUGAGGUUCUCUCCUGGUUAAAUAAAGGCAAAAAAAACAAAAAAAAAACCCACAACACAAUGAAAACAAACAGCAACACAAUGAAAUUAAUACAACACAAUAGAAACAAACAGCAACACAAUGAAAUUAACACAGCACAGCAGAAACGAGCCGCAACACAGUGAAAUUAAGACAACACAACAAAAACGAGCCACAACACAAUGAAAACAAGCAGAGACACAGUGAAAUUAACACAACAGAAACAAGCUGCAACACAAUUAAAUUAACACAGCACAGCAGAAACGAGCCGCAACACAAUGAAAUGAACAAAACAAAAACAAGCCGCAACACAAUGAAAUUAACACAACACAACAGAAAUGAGCUGCAACACAAUGAACAUACCUAGGUGCACAUUUUAGCGAGACGCGAAAUACGUAUCAACAAGUACGUAUCACUGCAGUUUCCAAAAAAAAUGAACACUAGAGGCAGAAAUUUACAGAGUUUCAAUUAAUAAAGUCUAAUUUUCGCAGAAUUACUUGAAGAAUAUCAUGUUGUUACUUCAAAACAAUAUUAAUAUGCUGGGAGAUUUGAAAACUGAUGCUUUUGAACAUUAACAUCGCACAUAUCCAGCUUCAUAUCCGUGGGUUUUCAGAGGUGGAAGGUUUGUUCGGUAGCUCACGGAGUUUGGAGACAAAGUUCGGAGGCGAUGAGCUCCGGUUCGAAUCCCGUGUAACCACGGUUCGACAAAGCAGUACAAAUCUGCAUGUAAGUUAGUUGAAACGACAUCAACAAAUGCAUUUUUAUAUCAGUUUUGCAUUUUUUAACACUAUUGGGUAGGUUUAGGGUUGGGUUUGGUGUAGGGCAUAACUUUUAGUGACGGUCCCCGGAUAUUUGAAUUCUGAACCGCCGCAAUACGUACCAGAAGCAACAUAAUAAAAAUACAGCAAAACGUAACUACAUUAACGUAAUCAAAACGUGCCAGGGUUCACAUAUUAAACCUGUGUUUUAGCGCCACUCAGUGGACAUUUCUCUUUGAAACAGUUGCGAAACGUGCAGUGAGGUACGUAAAAACGGUCUUGCAGAAACAUACCCAGAGGUACAUAUUUUUAUGGGACUGGGUUGAAAUUAACACAACGAAAACGAGCUGCAACACAAUGAAAUUAACACAACACAACAGAAACAAGCCACAACACAACAAAAUUAACACAACACAAUGGAAACAAGAUGCAACACAAUGAAAUUAACACAAUGGAAACAAGUGGAACAACCACGGAAAUAAUCUAGGUAAAACUGCUUUUGAAUAUGCUGCACCGUCAGAUUGAAACUCUCUUCAGAUGAAACUGUGGCUAAAUCAGUUGGUGCAUUUUAGUAAUUUUAAAACACUUUUACGUGCAGUGGAAAAUGAUUUAAUGAUUUGCAAAUGCUUCUAGUGCUUUAUUUUAUUGAUAUCUUACUGUUAUGACAUAUUGUUGUUUGUCAUAUGUGUAUUUAUAUAACUGGGCCACCUAUCUUGGCCAGGACACUCCUGUAAAAGAGAUUUUUAAUCUCAGUGAGGUUCUCUCCUGGUUAAAUAAAGGCAAAAAAAAAGCCACAACACAACGAAAACAAACAGCAACACCAUGAAAUUAACACAACACAACAGAAAGGAGCUGCAACACAACGAAAUUAACACAACACAACACAAACAAGCCGCAACACAAUGAAAUUAACACAACACAACAGAAACGAGCUGCAACACAAUGAAAUUAACACAACACAACAGAAACAAGCCGCAACACAAUGAAAUUAACACAACACAACACAAACAAGCUGGAACACAAUUAAAUUAACACAACACAACAGAAACAAGCCGCAACACAAUUAAAUUAACACAACACAAUAGAAACAAGCCGCAACACAAUUAAAUUAACACAGCACAAUGAAAAUGAGCCACAACACAAUGAAAUUAACACAACAGAAACACAAUGAAAACGAGCCGCAACAC
ensembl:lncRNA